rnacentral:rRNA from 1 species
GAUGAACGCUGGCGGCGUGCCUAAUACAUGCAAGUCGAGCGAACAGACGAGGAGCUUGCUCCUCUGACGUUAGCGGCGGACGGGUGAGUAACACGUGGAUCACCUACCUAUAAGACUGGGAUAACUUCGGGAAACCGGAGCUAAUACCGGAUAAUAUAUUGAACCGCAUGGUUCAAUAGUGAAAGACGGUUUUGCUGUCACUUAUAGAUGGAUCCGCGCCGCAUUAGCUAGUUGGUAAGGUAACGGCUUACCAAGGCAACGAUGCGUAGCCGACCUGAGAGGGUGAUCGGCCACACUGGAACUGAGACACGGUCCAGACUCCUACGGGAGGCAGCAGUAGGGAAUCUUACGCAAUGGGCGAAAGCCUGACGGAGCAACGCCGCGUGAGUGAUGAAGGUCUUCGGAUCGUAAAACUCUGUUAUUAGGGAAGAACAAAUGUGUAAGUAACUAUGCACGUCUUGACGGUACCUAAUCAGAAAGCCACGGCUAACUACGUG